CCGUGGUUCCGGUUUCAAGGUUACUCUACCGACCUGCCAGGACUCAGAUCUCUUCUCAGACUCCAAUGGACCUGAGCUCCUGGACCUCGGUGGACACUGCAGCUCAGAUCACCCGGCUUGGUGGUCCGUGUGGUUUGGUGGAAGGCUCCACAGUAUCUCGAGAAAGAGAAGGCAGAGCUGCAGCGCACAAGUGCGAGGGGCCAUGGGGCCUCCCCAACCCCUCCUGGAUCUCCCCCGCUGGCCUCUCAUAAGGCGGGAGGGAAAUGAGCAUGCCGCCCUCUCCUCGGCUCCGGAGAGGGAAGAGGCCUCUGAAGGGUUCAGGAUUUUGUACCAAGAGAGUGACUCUGAGGGCCAGCCCUUCCCUCAGGACAAUAGGUAUCCAGUCUCUCCAGGGAUGGAGAGGAAGACAGCCCCUGAGGUCAGCAUUUCCCUUUGACCCCCGCAGCAGAAUAGGCACUCCGGGCGACUUUGUCUCAGGCCUUGUUCUCUGCCUCACACUCAGUGUGUUUGGAGGUCUGACUCUAGCUUUUCCAAGCUACUCGGUCUCACACAGAAGUCAUGUUCUCCAACUCAAGAGACCUGGAGCCUCUUACUCUGAGCUGUCUCAGCCUGAACUGAGAGCUAUCCAGAUCCCCAAGUCAAUUCUUCCUCACCUGAACUACAGAUUUAAUGCAAUUCCAAUCAAAAACUCAGCAAGUUAUUUUGUAGAUAUUGAAAAACUGAUCUUAAAUUUUAAAUGGAGAGGCAAAAGACCCGGAACAGCAAACACAACACUGAAAGGGAAGAACAAAGUUGAGUGGCCUGACAGUGCUUAAUUUCAGAACUUACUAUAAAGCUACAAUAAUAAAGACAGUGUGGUAUUGGGGAAAGAAUAGACAAAUAAUUCAAUAUCCUGUUCAAUGGAACAGAAUAGAGAGCCCAGAAAUAGUCACAUAAAUGUAGUGAACUGAUCUUUGACAAAGGAACAAAGACAAUACAAUGGAGCAAAGAUGGUCAUUCAAAAGUGGUGCAGGGACAACUGGACAUCUAUGUGCAAAACAAAAAAAAAAGUAUCUAGAUAUAGAACUUACACCCUUCACAAAAAUCAAAUCAAAAUGGACCACAGAUCUAAAUGUAAAAUGCAAAACUGCAAACACCUAGAAUAUAACACGGUAAGUUAAAAACAUGUCUACACAAAAAUCUGCACAUGGAUGCUUAUAGUUUUAUUCAUAACUGCCAAUACUUAGAAGCAACCAAGAAGUCCUUCAGUAGGUGAAUGGAUAAAUAAACUGUGGUAUAAGCAGACAAUGGAAUAUUAUUUAGUGCCCCCAAAAAAUAAACUAGCAAGCCUUGAAAAGACACGGAGGAACCUUAAAUGCAUAUUAUUAGGUGAAAGAAACCAAUCUGAAAAGCCUAUAUGCUGUAUGAUUCCAAGCAUAUGACAUUUCAGAAAAGGCAAAACUAUGGAGACAGUAAAAAGACGUGUUGCCAGGGGUUGAUGGGUGAGGAGAGGAAUGAGUAGGCAGAACAUAGAGGAUUUUUAGGGCAGUGAAAAUACUCUGUGUGAUACUAUAAUGAUGGACACAUGUCAUGAUACAUUUGUCCAAACCCAUAGAAUGUAGACUUCCAAGACUGAACCAUAUUAUAAACUAUGGACUUUGGGUGAUCGUGAUAUGUCAUUGUAGGCUCAUCAAUUGUAACAAAUGUACCACUCUGCAGGGAGCAUUGAUAAUAAGGGCUGCUGUGCAUGUUUGAGGGCAGGCAGUGUGAAGGAAAUGUCUGUAGAUUCCCCUCAGUUUUGCUGUGAACCUAAAACUAUUCUACAGAAAUAAAGUCUUAAAAAAUAUGUGAAAGAGUAUUAUCUAAAUAUCUACUUACAAAUCAAUAAGAAAAAAUCCAUGCGCAUGCUCUUCUAUGUGCUGUAAUCUCCCUUCUUCUGAAGGAAAAUGAUCAUGUAAUGAACAUGGUACCAACGGUGUCAGCCUGAGUCCCUGAGUGACUGCCUGGAGCAGACAGUGCUGUGUCCCAACCUCCCCCACCAACACACUGCUCAGUUAGAAACACACCGGGCAGCUUACAGGCAAAAGUAACCUUCUAUUUUGUGGAGUCACAGAAAUUUGGAGGUUUAUUUGUUAUAACAUCAAUUUACCAUAAUAAAUGUAUAUUCUGACACCAAUAGCCAGGGUCAGAGCACUGACUCACUUGAGAGAGAAGAGAAACUGAGCUUUGUAUUGUUAUAUCAGAGUUGAGAUUAAAGUUUUAACAGGAUUGAUUUUUAAAAUACUGCAGUGAGAGUGUUCAGUAACACAAAGUGCUACAGCAUUAAGUAACAUAAAGUAAUGUCAAAGUAUAUGGCCAGGAAAAUGUUAAAGGACCCACUAUUUAGUAGGAAACAAAGGACAAAAGCCGCGUUGGAAGCUAUUAACAGAAAGGGGGAAAAAAGUAUUUACAGAAAAGGGAUUAAAUAAAUUGUUACACUUGUUUAGUGUAGCAAAAUGACAUAGCAAAGUAGCAGCCAGAAAAACACCAAUAAGUUGUAGCAAUAUCCAGAAGAGAGUAAAAAAUGUAAAGGUAAUAUCGGAAAUAACCCUGUCCUACCCUUGGAAAUGUUUGAGAGGAUCUUCGCAGGUGCUGGGGAGCCUGGUGAGCGGCUGCAGUGAGACUGGAAAAUCAGCUGAGACCUGGAGCUAGCUGCCCUCAAGGCACGUUCCCUCCAGCUUUGUUAGAGAGGAGAGCUGGGUCAGCAGAUAUGAACUGACUUUUGGAAAAAACAGGUCAAUGCCGGGCCCUGAGCUCCAGAGGCUCCCACUUUUAACCGGAUCACUUCUUCCAACCAGACCUACUGUUGUGUCGUGGUAGCAAAGAUGUUUCUGCCUGGCUGUCCCGGUAAAUACGCAGAGCAUUUGGGAGCAUCCUCACGCCCGGACACUGGCCAUGGGAAUAUACUGCACCAGCCCAAGUGUACCCUUCCAUGGGACAGUGACAACGUGGAAUCAGUUGUGUUCUGACACUUCUCUGCUUAUGAAUUCUCCUGACUAAAUCUCGUUCAUAAAGGCACCAUGUGGCACCGUGGUGCUGCGCCUGUGCGCCUUUGGGUGACAUUUGGUUUACAUAUUGAAGGGCUUCUCCAGGACUGUUCUGACCCCAGCUACACCAUAGACUAACCCCAAUCCUGAUGUAACAAAGGGAAACCCAGCAGCAUUUCCAGCCUAAGCAUCAGGCUGCUUAACAUCUGUGAACAAGGAUGUCACUGCAAGACAGGAGGUUUUCUUGCUACCAGCAGGAAAUGAGAUGUAUUUUAAGAAGAAGGGAUUUUUGUUUGUUGGCUUUUUGUCUUGAGAGGACCACACUCAGAGGAGUAUAGACCCACAGGAAUGGUUACAGCUGGAGGAAGCUGCCUCAUGUUUUUCAGAAGGUGUCAAUAACUCAGUGUCCCCAUCUUUUUCCUUCUCUAUCUCUUCCCUUCUCCCUGUACUUUUGGCCUGUCAGUGAUGACAGCCAUGAGGAGCUCACAUCCUCAAGGGAGCAACUGAGGUCCAGCAUCACAGUAAAGUCUACAUUAUUGUGACAGGACUCAGUUGCAAGUUAACAAAACUCAUGUCAAUCUAGCUUUAGCAGAAGAGAUUAACAUAACAUGUUGAUUUCCCUGGGAAGGCAAGGAGUGAGUCUAAUUUGAAACGUGAUUGGAUCCAGGGACUCAAACUAGUCAUCAGAUCUCAAUCUCUCUUCUCUUUCUCUGUUCCUGGGGGAAACAGCCAAUGUGAUUUCUAAUCCCCUCACAUUACCCACUUUAACAACUUAAGCAGAAAGAGAAACAUCUUUCUCACAGCGUCCAUUUAUAAAGUACUGAAAAAGAAAAAUUACCAUUGGACCAGUCCCUGUUGCUAAGUGGAUGUGGUACAAUGUGGUAACCUGAUUGGUCAGGCCUGGGUCAUGUGAUUUCCUUAUCCCUCAGUCCAUUAUAUUUCCUAAGUUAUUUAAGGCUGUGCUGAUUAUUAAAUCAUGUAACUAUUGAACACAAAGACUUCUGUAAAUUCUCAGAUCCAUAAGAGAAAUAGUGAGAACAUUAACUAUUAGAACUGUUGGGUUUCUUUUCAUUGGCUUUUCUUUAUAUUUCUACAUAGCUUCUUGCCUCUUCCAAGCCCCAAAUUGCCUAGAAGACUGGGCCACUUUUCUGGGAUCUUAAUUAUGACCUAUAUUCCAGUGGGUUGAGCGCAAAAUCCCUUUGACCUGAGUUUUGUAUAUACCACUGAUCUCUGCAUUCUUGGCUGCAGCCCUGUGAGAUGCCACACAUUUAGGUGGUUGCCAAAGUCCGCUUUACAAUAAGCACACUUCUGAGAUGUGAUCCCCAGAUCACGGUGUUCAUGCACUUGUGUAAUCCCCACCCUUGGAGCAUAAGCUGGACCUAGUGACUCACUUAUAAUAAACAGAAUACAGUGAAGUGAUAGAAUUUUAUGAUCACCAGGGCACAGGCUAUGAGGGACCUGAGGUCAGCUAUCCAAAAAUCAGCUGUUCAAACCAGUUUCUGCUCCUGGCUAGGACAAACACUCCUGUGUUCUGCAAAGAGGACAACAAGUGAAGAAACAAAGACUCCCAAAUCUAAUACCUGGUGAGCCAAACACUCCCCCAGGGAAGCCCCAUGGCUAGAAAGAUGAGGAGGGUAACAGUCUCCAAUGUCCCUGUCUGCCUCCUCUGGCCCAGCUCUCUUCUCCAACUUAGAAUAAUCUCCUAGGAGCCCACAGAGGUGAAUACCAUAAAUAAAUCUCUGCUCAUCUCCACCACGGCCACAUGCCCCUGGGAAGUCCUAUUCUCUCCAUAUGUAUUAACUCAGCGUGUGCAGCAGAAAGGCAAAUAACAGUGGUCUAGCAGGAUGGAAACUUGUCUGUGUCUCCAUGACAGGGAGGCAGUUCCAGGGCUGGUUGGUGACUCUGCAUCACGAGGUUGUCCAGGCAUCCAGGAUCCUAUGACCUUUCCUCCUCUGCUGUCCCUGGGAUGAUGCCCUUAUUAGCAUGACCCAAAGUACCUAAGACCAUGUCAUUGGUCCAUGAGCAAACAAGGAAAGCAGGAGAGGAGGGAAGCUCUCAUUGUCCAUCUCCAUGAGAGCUCUUGGGUGACCAGGCACAUUGUCAGUGAGCAGUAAUAUUUUGAAAGGACUCUUUUCUUCUGAGAAGUAGGUCUCAAUAUUGGGCUGAAAAUAUUGAGUCCACCAUGUUGUAAACAGAAAAGCUGUCAUCUAGGCUUUGUUGUUCCAUUUAUAGAGCACAGGCAGAAUGGAGUUAGCAUACAUCUUAAGGGCCCUAGGAUUUUUCUGAAUGGUAAAUGAGCAUUGAUUUCAACUUAAAGUCGCCAGCUGCAUUAGCCCUUAACAAGAGAGCCAGCAUGUCCUUUGACGCUUUGAAUCAGGCAUUGGCUUCUCCUCUCUAGCUAUGAAAGUUCUAGAUGGCAGCUUUUUCCAAUAUAAGGCUAUUUCGUCUACAUUGAAAAUCUGUUGUUUAGUGCAGCCACCUUUACGGAUUACCUUAGCUAGAUCUGGGUAACCUGCAGUUUUUACAUCAGCACUUGCUGCCUCACCUUGCACUUUAUGUUACAGAGACGGCUUCUUUCCUUAAACUUUGUCAACCACCCUCUGCUAGCUUCAAAUUUUUCUCCUGCAGCUUCCUCACCUCUCUCAGCCUUCAUAGAAUUUAAGAGAGUUAGGGCCUCGCUGUGGUUUAGAAUUUGGCUGAAGGGAAUGUUGCAGCUGUUCUCUCCGGACCACGCCAACCUUCUCCAUACCAGCAGAAAGGUGGUUUCGUUUUCUUAUCAUUUGUGGUUCACUGUUAAUUUCCUUCAAGAAUUUUCCUUUGCUUUCACAACUUGGCUAACUGUUUGGCACAAGAGGCCCAGCUUUCAGCCUAUCUUGGCUUUUGACAUGCCUUCCUGACUGAGCUUAAUAAUUUCUAGCUUUUGAUUUAAAGUGACACGUACAACUCUUCCUUUCACUUGACCACUUAGAGGUCAUUAUAGGGUUAUUAAUUGCCCUAAAGUCAAUGUUGUUGUGUCUCAAGGAAUAGGGAGGCCUGAGGAGAGGGAGAGAGACAGGGGAAUAGCUAAUCGGUGGAGUAGUCAGAACAGACACAUCAUUUAUCCAUUAAGUUUGCUGUCUUAUAUGGGAGUGGUUCAUGUGGCCCCAAAACAAUUACAAUAACAUCAAAGACCACUGACCACAGAUCAGCAUAACAAAUCUAAUAAUAAUGAAAAAGUUUGUAAUAGUGUGAGAAUUACCAAAAUGUGACACAGAGACAUGAAGUGAGCAGAUGCUGUUGGGAAAGUAGCACCAAUAGACUUGCUCAACGCAGGGUUGGCACAAACCUUCCAUUUGUGAAAAAAACGCAAGAUCUUCAAGAUGUAAUGAAAGAGGCAUAUUCACACAGGUCAACACCAAUUAUUUAGUGAAACUUUGUCUAAAACUGUAGGAAGGGAGGGGCGAAAUCAAAGUGUCUAUUUCAGCUCCAUAGGCGAAGGUUUCGCAUUACAGUGGGUAAAAUUGUUGUUUCUUUUCUCUUUUCGGGAGUUCUCCCAUCUCUCCCAGGCUGACCACUCUGUGUUGCAGGAGAUAGAAGAUCUCAAGCAAAACUCAGGCUUUUCCUCCCACUGUUCUUUACACAGUAUUGUGAUCACCAAAUUCCAAUGUGUGGAGAUUUUCCCCACAUCCCCAUUAACUCAAUUUGGAUUCUAUCUACUAGAGAUAGUAUCAGAUCCCACAGGCUAGAUGCUCUGUCUUGCAAGACUGUCCCCCUUCCUAAUAUGCCAAUCGCAAGUCCAGGUUGUUACCUAUGUUUCUGAUUGUCUAUAAAUUGGAUGUUCUAAUGUUCCCCAACUUGGGUUCAAUUAAUUUGCUAGAGCAGCUCACAGAACUCCAAGAAACGUUUUACUUACUAGGUUACUGGACAUAACUGAUGACCAGCCAGAUGGAGGAGAUGCACAGGGCAAGUAAGCUCAUGUGUCA